UGUUCUUACUUCAAGAUGCCUGCCUUG
rnacentral:piRNA from 1 species